GAAAAUUAGUAAAAUAUAGAAAAGAAAAAAAACUAAACUAUUGCAUAAUUUCUCUACUUAAAAUAAUCACUGUUGACAUGAUGGCUAUUUUCUGCCAGUAUAUAUUUUCUUUUUGCUAGUAAAAUACAUAGCCCUUAUACAUAUAUUUAAGUGGUUGAGGUCGCUGGGCACAGUGGCACAUGUCUGUAAUCCCAGCUACUCGGGGGGCUGAGGUGGGAGGAUCACUUGAGCCCAGGAAGCAGAGGUUGCAGUGAUUCUCCUGCCUCAGCUUCCCAAGUAGCUGGGAUUACAGGCAUG
rnacentral:lncRNA from 1 species